rnacentral:rRNA from 1 species
UACAGAGGGUGCUAGCGUUGUUCGGAAUUACUGGGCGUAAAGCGUGCGCAGGCGGCUUCUCAAGUCAGGGGUGAAAGCCCAGAGCUCAACUCUGGAAUUGCCUUUGAGACUGAGUGGCUUGAGUACGAGAGAGGUGAGUGGAAUUCCCAGUGUAGAGGUGAAAUUCGUAGAUAUUGGGAAGAACACCGGUGGCGAAGGCGGCUCACUGGCUCGUAACUGACGCUCAUGCACGACAGCGUGGGGAUCAAACAGG